CCACUGACAGAUGAUCUGCUGCCUUUAUUCUGCUUGAUGUCUGUGUGCUUAAUGUGUAUCAUCAAAAAAUCACUCUUGAAAAGGAGUGUUUUCAGAUUCCGUUGGUUUGGACAACUGAUCUAUAUUAGAGAACAUAUAUAGUAAUAUACAGAUCAGUGGUUUGGACACAUUUAUGAAGGCCUAGUAAUAAGUUCCAUGCUUCUGUGUACGUGAAGAUGGAUCUUUUGUUUCCUUGGGGAUCAUAUUAUUUAAAUAAUGCUGCCAUCUAGUGUACAUAUUCAUGCUGUUUCCACCUUGGAGCAUCCUAAAUAAUAUAUACUAAAUAAUAUAUACUGGGGAAAAUAAUGAUUAUCUUGUUUCUCCACUAAAAGCAAACUGAAGAUAAUAUGUGUGAAUGUAGUGGAGACAGAGCAGAGCGCUGGUCAACGCGUCACUACUGAAUGGCUCGGUGGUUGCUGUGGCAACAUAUAGCCCACAGUUGUAGUGUCACGCGACAUAAAAAUAAGAGGGUGGCUUCUGAAACAAAGAUUAUAUUAUGUGCUUUAUCUGAGACCUGCGCUUGACUGCUGAUAUAAUUACCUAAAAUUAGCUUUAGCACAGAGUUAUGUGUGAGGCUUCAGCUUUAAUCAGGUUUGCUGUAACAAACUUACCUAAAUCAGCAGACAGCUGGACAUAAAGGGGCCUACAGUUCACGGAGAAAAAAAGAAGGGGAGGGAAGGAGUUGGAUACGGUACAGAUGUGGCCUGACCAACACCAUACAGGACGUCCUAAACCAGAGACCAGAGUUUAAGAGAAGCCCAGGGAGCACCUGGAUUACAAUACUUUCCCAACACAGGAUGGGUCCCGCUCUGAAGAACAGAAAGACGAGGCUCAAGUUGAGAUCUAUGUCGCUCAGCGUUACAUUGAGAAUCCCUACCUCACAGCUGGGAGAAAACUUUACUUGAGAGUCUAUGUUCUUGUAACAUCAACGUUCAUCUCACCAAUGUUGCAGUGCAAAAAACAGCUCCUAAUUAAGAUCCUGAAAAGGGUUGUAAGUGGCAGAUGCAGCGGCUAUGGCAGUAUCUGACCGCUAAGCAUGGUUUCAAGAAUUUAAUCCAUCGCUUCUGAUAAAAAUAAUAAUAAUAAUAAUAAUAAAUAACUCUUCCUCCAGUAAAAAAAGUCCAUCCCCUGUUGUCCUUUCAUAUUAAAAUAUACUUUUUGUUUAGAACUGCUUUGGUUGGUUAACGGUGCUUGGUCUGUGCAUAUUUCUCUUUUGAUUCAGAUGAGAUUCUCAUUUGCAUAGACUCUCAUUCUGACGGCACCCAUUCACUGAAGAAGAUCCAUUGGUGAGUAAGCAAUGUAAUGCUGUUCCGAUAAACAAACUAAAUUAUGGAUGGCCUGAGGGUGAGUAAAACUAAUUUUAUUUUUUGAAGUAAAUAUACUAAUUAAAAUGUAUAGAAAAA